GUGGUGUGCACUUUCUGGGGAUUCCAGAGAAGGGGAGAAGUGAGGCUGCUUUGUCUCCAUUUGGUAGUUAUUACUAAUUAACAGCAACUCCAGACCUACUCUAACUCCAUCGCAGCGUAGCUGGCCAGCAUCUCUGUUCUCACGAAAGAAGUGCUGAGUUUGUUUUGGGGUUCCUGGAAUGUGCCCUUUUUGUUGUUGUUGUUGAACACACUGGUCUCAAGAUUGAAUCUCUGCAUUUAGAAGAUGUGUUCUUUCUCCUUUUAAUAUUGGGUUAGUCACAGCAGCCAGCCACCAUUCGUUUCAACAAAAGCGUGAUCUGAAAAGCAAUCCUUUCGAUUGGGCUUUGUUAUCUUCCUAGCUCUCCAUUCACUGUAGAACGUGCAAGUAGAUGGUCACUAUGCUUUGUAGAAAUGGUGAAAAGAAAUGCAAAUGGCAGUUCUUCUCAUUCACAUCACUGUGCAUGUUGUACUCGAUGGUGAGGAAAAGGAGCAGUUGGUGGCAUCUUUAAGACAAGUGUUCAAGUUUCGCUACCCUGAUGUGCAUGUGCAAAAGCUGGUGUGUUCAUUGGGAAUUGUCAUGUGCUGUGAAGAGUGGAAGCUAACCAAAGUCAUGGUCACAGCCCUGUAGAUUCAAAGAGCACCUUCAGCUUCAUUUCCCCUUUCUCAAUAUUAGACAUACCCACUGUUUUUUGCUGUUUUCAUCUUUUGGAAUUUGCAGCCUGGUGGCUGGGUUAAUGGUCUGUAGAAUGUAUUGUUUUUCUUCCUAUGAAGCCAUUGCUCAUCCUCACAAGCAAAAGUUGGUCAGCCAGACUGUGAGCCCGCAAACUUGACCCUUCUAACCUGACUGAGUCCUUACUGACAGGCAAUUGAUGAUUUCCUGGGUUUACUCUGGGCUUUGCAACCUCCCAUGGUAGCAUUCUGCCAUGCCACAUAAGACUGAACAGUUAAUAGUUGUUUGUAAGCUAGGUUGUGGUUGGAGUUGCUUUCUUUUUUUCUUCCAUUCUUUUUUUUUCUUUUUUUUAAGUAGCACAUCAUGUAUGCUAUCCCAUACACAUAACUUUCAUUUUAAUUUUUAAAAUAGAUCUGAGAUUAGCCAUUCCAAGUUCUGUUAGUGUUUUUUUUCUUCAACACUCUUUGCAAGAUGACUUGCAAAAAAUGUCUCAUCUCACAGACUUUGGUACAAUAGAUUUUCCAUUAGUCAGAAGGCAGAAGUCAUUUUUCUACACAAUAGUGAACUGUGUCGCACCUGUCCUGCUGAGUGCCUUUUUGAUGACAGGUUAGUAUGCCACCAAGUCAGUCCUUAGAGAAGUCUGAUUACUAAGUUUCUGUGAUCAUCAAGGCAGUCAUCCAGUAGCAUCUAUUGAGUGGUUCAUGAGUGUAGAUGGAUACAGCACUCCUGAUAUGCAAGCAUCCCCACAUAGCUUUUCUCACCAACUGUCACAUCCUAAAGACAGCCAGACACUAAGCUGCUGAAAGGCUGAGCUAGACUAAAGCAGUGGGGGGGUUGGGACCACAUAUCCCACACCAGAGCGGUCAUAACCACAUGAAAAGGCAGCAAGCAUAUGUUUGCAACAUUUGACAACUUCACGGCCCUGGAUAUAUGUAUAUAUGUAUAUGUGCAUGGACUGUGUUUUCAGUACACCUUUCAGCCACACAGAUCCACAGUCGAGUUCAAAUACCUAACAAGCAGGUGUCUAGUACAGUCUUGUAUAUGUGUGUGGGUUUUUUUUUUCCUUUGAUGUUGCUUCGUUUUGUCUUGUAAAGGUGAACAUUGUUGGCAAAUAAAGUGAGAAGUUCAUCAUUUGACAUUUUUCUGUUUUUAGAAGCUACGCCCUUUCAGGGAGCAGGUCUGAAUGUCUUGCUUACCUGACAUAUAUUUGUUUUCAGUGUUGUCAAGUCAGAGUGUGUUUCUGUGAGCUGUCAGUGUGAGGAACCAAUCCCUUUGUCACAUAUCUGGUUAAGAGCUAGUAACUUGUUUGGGAAGUCCUACUGUUGUUUCUUAUUGGGAGAAGGUUCCUGCUGGUUUUCCCAACUGUGCUUUUGCAAUGCAUGGUAUCUAAGUCAGUUGGAAAAGUGGGCGUUGCUGUCUGUUUGAAUUUAGGGUCAUUUAAGAAAGGGGCAGUUAAAAGCACAAUGCCUCACAUGGGACAAAGUUCCAAAAUGCCAAAUUCUCCUGUUUUUUUACAAAAAUCUAUAGUUAUAUAUCAAAUAACUAGUAGUGAGGGUAGGGAGAAUGUGGCUCAUUGAACAGACUCUCCAACUUCACACCGAACUUGUCACCAUGAGAUAGCAUUGGCUGCCCAGGAUGCUGCUAUUUAAGAAAAAAAUAAAAAGCAAAACAAAACAAAACAAAAAAAAAACCCCACCCUCAUUUAUAUGUGUGUAUUUUUUAAAGCUACACUCUGUUCAAUGUUUUUACAAAUCUGUUUAUAUGACAUUGAUAAAAUAAAGUUGGUCUUUUGACGAGAGGGAGGAUGUCAUGGUCAGUUGUAAUUUUGCCUUUACAAGGCAACUGGGGUGGGGGGAGGGAGUGUGCCUCCUUGACAUUUUGUUCAAGUUAUAGAUUCAGUGAAGCUAUGUAUUGUUUUAAGUUGCUUAAUGCAUUGUAUUAGGUCCUCAAACAGAAUAAAG
ensembl:lncRNA